UACGAAGGGGGGCUAGCGUUGCUCGGAAUUACUGGGCGUAAAGCGUGCGCAGGCGGUUAUGUAAGACAGAUGUGAAAUGCCCGGGCUUAACCUGGGAACUGCAUUUGUGACUGCAUGGCUAGAGUUUGGCAGAGGGGGGUAGAAUUCCACGUGUAGCAGUGAAAUGCGUAGAUAUGUGGAGGAACACCGAUGGCGAAGGCAGCCCCCUGGGUCA
rnacentral:rRNA from 1 species